UACGUAGGGGGCUAGCGUUGUCCGGAUUUAUUGGGCGUAAAGAGCGUGUAGGCGGCCAGGUAGGUCUGCUGUGAAAACUGGAGGCUCAACCUUCAGAGGUCGACCGAAACCCCCUGGCUAGAGUCCGGGAGAGGAGAGUGGAAUUCCUGGUGUAGCGGUGAAAUGCGCAGAUAUCAGGAAGAACACCCGUGGCGAAAGCGGCUCUCUGGAACGGUACUGACGCUGAGACGCGAAAGCGUGGGGAGCGAACAGG
rnacentral:rRNA from 1 species